CAAAAACAUCGCCUCCUGCAAAAAUCAACAUAUAGGAGGUCUUGCCUGCCCAGUGACUAACAAUUAAACGGCCGCGGUAUUUUGACCGUGCAAAGGUAGCGCAAUCACUUGUCUUUUAAAUGAAGACCUGUAUGAAUGGUGGAACGAGGGCUUAACUGUCUCCCCCCUCUGGUCAAUGAAAUUGAUCUGCCCGUGCAGAAGCGGGCAUAAUUAUACAAGACGAGAAGACCCUUUGGAGCUUAAGAUAAAAGACCAACUAUGUCAAAAGUCCUAAAAAAGACUAAACCAAGUAGCACUGGUCCCAAUCUUCGGUUGGGGUGACCACGGGAGAAAACAGAGCUCCCACGCGGACUGGGGAAACCCCCCAAAACUAAGAGAGACAUCUCUAAUGCACAGAACAUCUGACCAAAAAGAUCCGGCUAUAUGCCGACCAACGGACCAAGUUACCCUAGGGAUAACAGCGCAAUCCUCUUCCAGAGUCCAUAUCGACAAGAGGGUUUACGACCUCGAUGUUGGAUCAGGAUAUCCUAAUGGUGCAGCCGCUAUUAAGGGUUC
rnacentral:rRNA from 1 species